CCGAGUUAUACAACUCCUCAACCCUGUGAACAUACCACUUAACGUUGCCUCGGCGGGAAUCAGCCCGCGCCCUGUAAAACGGGACGGCCCCGCCAGAGGACCCCUAAACUCUGUUUCUAUAUGUACUUCUGAGUAAAACCAUAAAUAAAUCA
rnacentral:misc_RNA from 1 species